AUGAGUGCAACCACUUUCCGAUAUCUUAUAUCCUUGGCAGUACAAAAUCGUCUAUCUAUGCAGUUGAUGGACGUCGUGACCGCAUACCUUUACGGGUCACUAGAUUCGGACAUAUAUAUGAAGGUUCCUGAUGGAAUCUAUGUCCCGAAUAAAAAUGCAAAACGCAACAUGUAUUGUGUAAAGCUGAAUAAGUCAUUAUAUGGCUUAAGGCAGUCGGGACGGAUGUGGAACAACCGACUCAGUGAGUUCCUUCUUCAGAAAGGUUACUCCAAUAGUGCUGAUUGCCCAUGUGUUUUCAUCAAGAAGUCCUCUACAGGAUUUUGCAUCAUUUCUGUGUAUGUUGACGAUCUCAACAUCAUCGGCAGCACACCAGACAUUGAUGAAGCACGCAAUCACCUAAAGAUGGAAUUUGAGAUGAAGGAUUUGGGUAAAACCAAAUUUUGCUUAGGUAUUCAACUUGAGCAUUUUCCCUCAGGAAUCAUGGUACACCAAUCUUCCUAUAUCCAGAAAAUAUUGGAGAAAUUCAAUAUGGACAAAUCCUAUCCAUCUAAAACUCCCAUGGUGGUUCGAUCUCUAGACAUAGAGAAAGAUCCGUUCAGACCAAGGGAUGAUGGAGAAGAGGUGUUGGGACCUGAAGUUCCAUACCUUAGUGCUGUUGGAGCGCUUAUGUAUCUUGCAAAUUGCACAAGACCUGAUAUUGCAUUUGCAGUGAAUCUACUUGCUAGACAUAGCGCAGCUCCCACCAAACGUCAUUGGUCUGGAGUGAAGAAUAUCUUUCGAUAUCUCCAAGGCACAAAGGACCUUGGCCUAUUUUUCCAGUUCCAGAAAAAUCAGGACUCUGAUAUGAUUGGAUAUGCAGAUGCCGGUUAUUUGUCUGAUCCCCAUAAUGCCAGAUCUCAGACCGGUUCGUGUUCCUACAUGGUGGCACUGCUAUAUCAUGGAAGUCUUCGAAACAGACUCUGGUGGCAACAUCUACCAAUCAUUCUGAAAUAA
rnacentral:rRNA from 1 species